rnacentral:rRNA from 1 species
AGUGAACGCUGGCGGUAGGCCUAACACAUGCGAGUCGAACGGCAGCACAGUAAGAGCUUGCUCUUACGGGUGGCGAGUGGCGGACGGGUGAGGAAUACAUCGGAAUCUACUUUUUCGUGGGGGAUAACGUAGGGAAACUUACGCUAAUACCGCAUACGACCUACGGGUGAAAGCAGGGGAUCUUCGGACCUUGCGCGAUUGAAUGAGCCGAUGUCGGAUUAGCUAGUUGGCGGGGUAAAGGCCCACCGAGGCGACGAUCCGUAGCUGGUCUGAGAGGAUGAUCAGCCACACUGGAACUGAGACACGGUCCAGACUCCUACGGGAGGCAGCAGUGGGGAAUAUUGGACAAUGGGCGCAAGCCUGAUCCAGCCAUACCGCGUGGGUGAAGAAGGCCUUCGGGUUGUAAAGCCCUUUUGUUGGGAAAGAAAAGCAGCAGGUUAAUACCCCGCUGUUCUGACGGUACCCAAAGAAUAAGCACCGGCUAACUUCGUG